GACGAACGCUGGCGGCGUGCCUAAUACAUGCAAGUAGAACGCUGAAGGAGGAGCUUGCUUCUCUGGAUGAGUUGCGAACGGGUGAGUAACGCGUAGGUAACCUGCCUGGUAGCGGGGGAUAACUAUUGGAAACGAUAGCUAAUACCGCAUAAGAGUAGAUGUCGCAUGACAUUUGCUUAAAAGGUGCAAUUGCAUCACUACCAGAUGGACCUGCGUUGUAUUAGCUAGUUGGUGAGGUAACGGCUCACCAAGGCAACGAUACAUAGCCGACCUGAGAGGGUGAUCGGCCACACUGGGACUGAGACACGGCCCAGACUCCUACGGGAGGCAGCAGUAGGGAAUCUUCGGCAAUGGACGGAAGUCUGACCGAGCAACGCCGCGUGAGUGAAGAAGGUUUUCGGAUCGUAAAGCUCUGUUGUAAGAGAAGAACGAGUGUGAGAGUGGAAAGUUCACACUGGGACGUAUCUACCAGAAAG
rnacentral:rRNA from 1 species